rnacentral:pre_miRNA from 1 species
ACAGGAAUUACCUGGGGAUCUUAUUAAAAUGCAGUUUCUGAUUCAGUGGGCCUGGGACAGGGUCUGAGAGUCUGCAUUUCUAAUAAGCUCCCCGGUGAGCUGAU